rnacentral:rRNA from 1 species
UACGUAGGGUGCAAGCGUUAUCCGGAUUUAUUGGGCGUAAAGAGUUCGUAGGCGGUUUGUUAAGUCUGGUGUUAAAGACUGGGGCUCAACCCCAGCAUGGCAUUGGAUACUGGCAGGCUAGAGUGUGGUAGAGGUCUCGGGAAUUCCAGGUGUAGCGGUGAAAUGCGUAGAUAUCUGGAGGAACACCGGCGGCGAAAGCGCGAGACUGGGCCAUAACUGACGCUGAGGAACGAAAAGCCAGGGGAGCGAAAGGG